GACGAACGCUGGCGGCGUGCUUAACACAUGCAAGUCGAACGGAAAGGCCCUGCUUUUGUGGGGUGCUCGAGUGGCGAACGGGUGAGUAACACGUGAGUAACCUGCCCUUGACUUUGGGAUAACUUCAGGAAACUGGGGCUAAUACCGGAUAGGAGCUCCUGCUGCAUGGUGGGGGUUGGAAAGUUUCGGCGGUUGGGGAUGGACUCGCGGCUUAUCAGCUUGUUGGUGGGGUAGUGGCUUACCAAGGCUGUGACGGGUAGCCGGCCUGAGAGGGUGACCGGCCACAUGGGGACUGAGAUACGGCCCAGACUCGUACGGGAGGCAGCAGUGGGGAAUAUGGCACAAUGGGCGGGAGCCUGAUGCAGCAACGCCGCGUGCGGGAUGACGGCCUUCGGGUUGUAAACCGCUUUCGCCUGUGACGAAGCGUGAGUGACGGUAAUGGGUAAAGAAGCACCGGCUAACUACGUG
rnacentral:rRNA from 1 species